CGGCAACCCGAUUGAUUAAAAUGUCUCACGUGCCACUCAGUACUUCCUUGUUUGAAAAUAUCUCCCGCGAAGAAUCAACGUAAAGACAGACAAAAUGAGAAAAUCUCGAAGAAUAUACCUACAGUAUGUGAAUAAAAAUGGGCGAUCUCAGGUAGCCAAUGUGAGAAAAACAGUGAUUGAAAGAAACAUAUUGCUUGAUCCGCCGAUAGUGGCAGUGGCAGUACAGGGAAAGGAGGUAGCCCGCUGCAGCGCGUUGAGACGCGAAUUAGUUGAGAUGAAGAUGACGACAUGCAGCGAUCAACCAGACAGCAGCCGGUAACAGUGGCUUUUAUUCCACAGGUCUCAAAUAAACCAACUCAUACAUGAUUGGAUUUGCUCUAAGUGUCUAAACACUGGACUGAAAAUCACCAUAGACUUCACCAACCAGAUUCUGUAAUUCUGUCAUGAGUGCAGACUGUGAAGGUGAUCGUGAUGCAUUUAGGAGGAGUGUUUACACUUCCUCCAGGCUGCAAGAGUGCUCCAGGGGAGAUGUGGCGUUUGAUAUGAAUGUGAGGAUGGUUCUUCUAGCCCACGAACUUGGACUUGGUUAUGCAGCUCUAAAGAAAAUAAGUCCUAGGAAUUCCUUCCUUGUGUCUCAGCUCAUAUCAGAGACAUGAGAGGAGAAUGACAGUUGGAGAGAUUCAGAGAGGGCUGCAGUCAAUGGAGAGUGCUGCAAAGAUAAUUAGAAGAGCAUACGCAGAUAUAGACCCAGAUAUAACAGAGAUGUUGGAGGAUGAGGAUGCCAUCACCGACAUUCAUGUAUCCUUUGAUGGCACUUGGCACAAGAGAGGAUUCACUUCCAACUACGGGAUAGGUGUGUGCAUUGGUGCUGGUACCAGCGAGCCAUAGAAAAUGGUGAAGAUCCACCCCGUCACAAAAACCUUGUAGGCCAUACAUUUUUUAAUAGAGAGGUUGCACAGAAAAUGGUACCUGUAUAUUAUAGGAUGUCAAGUGACAACGUCCUCAAUAGAAUGUAGCACGGAGGAACCCAGAAUGCAAAUGAAUGUCUGAACUCUGUAAUAUGGUCAUGAUGCCCCAAAACUGUCUUCGAGGGCAAAAGCUGCAUUGACAGAGCAGCCAGUAUGGCAGUAGCCACGUUCAAUGAGCCAGCCACUGCUAUAACAAAUGUGAUGAACAAAUUGUGGAUUGACAGCACUUUGGUGACACUGGAGCAAUCAGAGAGUGUGCCAAGCGUAGGCGCAGGUCCCAUGACACAGUCAAGAAAGUAAAGUGUCACCAACAACAACUCAAAGAGGGCCUUACAUAUGGGGCAGGCAUAGCUAAGUAAUGUUCUGCACAUUUAAACAGCCAUACAAAAUCCCUGUAUGUGACAAAUUGAGUGAAAUGAGAAUUUGCCCAACAGACCAGUAUUCAAAGCAUAUGCUCUAUUGCUUGAAACAAAUGUAUUAAACGUGCUAAUGUAUUUGUAAAAGGUAUAUUUGAUGUUUAUUUGUCAGUUUAGAAUAAGAUAUAUGAAUAAGAGUUUAAUUAAUUUGACAUACAGUUGAAGUCGGAAGUUUACAAUACAUCUUAGCCA
rnacentral:lncRNA from 1 species